rfam:Equus caballus chromosome 1, whole genome shotgun sequence.
GGAUGUGAGGGCAACCUGGCUGUGACAUCUGUCACUCCCUUGAUCAUCAGGGUUGAUUUGGCUGAUCUGGCUAGCUAGGCAGGUGUCCCCUUUCUCCCUCACUGCUCCAGGUGUGUUCCUUCUGAAGCUGCAUGCUCAGUUGAAGAGGAUUACCUUCCCCAAGAGAGGAGGACCAUUCUUUGGUCAAGCACAUACUAGUAGAUGUGCUUCCCUGCUAGAACCUCUAAACUAGUUCUCAGGGUCCAUUUGUAGGAGAACAUAGGGUAGUCAAGCUCUCAAGACUCCAGACACAUCCAAAUGAGGCACUGCAUGUGACAGUCUGCCCCUUUCU